AGAUAUAUAUGUCGGCAAGAGCUACAACUUACAAACUGAUCCCAGCAAUAGACUGAUAGAUGAGAUGGACGCAGGCCAGAAAUAUAUGGCAGAGAUUAGUGUGAUGACAGUUACGUUUGGUUUACCACUUGAUCCGAAGGCUCUUUUAACUAGUGGUUGGAGUACAUUAUCAUUGAUGAAUAAAUUAAAAAAACUUGGUUCCAGUAUGACCGACUUUAGGAGAAAGGAACUGCAGAAGUAUCCAG